rnacentral:lncRNA from 1 species
CCAUUGUUUCCGCAGCUUUGGCACUGGUUACAUUCGGUUGGUUACUCGAAAUAGAGCUAGAAGUGCUGCACUUCAGUUCCUGUCUGCGACCUUCAUCUUUUCCGUGAAGAUUCACAUCUUAUACCAAGGACUCUGCAGAUUCAAAAUUUGCAGUCCAACCCAGUAAACUGAAACUGCUUUCUUUCUCUUAUCUUACUCCAAAAUCACACCAACAUGCACCGAAAGAACAUCUAGUUCACAAAGAUCAAACUAUCUACAGGAAAUUCAAAUCAAUCUCUGACAAUAGAAACAAAUCUUCACUAUGAGUAGAGACUCGUCUCCACACAGGCAUGUUAGCCUUCGCCCUUUUGUUUCUUUCCGGAGCAGCUAAUUUAUCCUUCCCACCAGCCAUUCCACCAUUAAAGCUCC